UAAUGGACCAUUCUGACUUUUUCUGCAACUAUUUCUAAUUUAUAUGUUGCUCGGAAAAGAUCUUUAGAUUUAUUUCCAAAGAAUCCUAUGAAAAAAACUUUUAGUUUCAAAUCUCUCACAGAGCUGUGAUUGUACAAUCAGUAUUCAUUUGCAUCAAUUUUAACUCUUGGUAUUUUUCUCCUCUUCUACUUUUUCUCUCCCAGUCUAAUGGAUAAAUACUUAGCUCUUUGUAUCCUUAUCAUUUUUUAUAUUAUAUAAAAAAUACCACUAAGCUAAGAAUUAUCAUUAAGACUGACCAGCUCAAGCUCACUACGUGGCGUUCUCCAGCCGCUUCCCACUUUAAAUCUAUUUAUAGACGUGUGUGCUGAAACAUGGACGGAAAUCUGGUUACUGAGCAGUUGGCAGCCAUGGGUGGAGAGGAAGACAUACUUGUCAGAAUAAAAGAAUGAACAGGAGGCAGUUCGGCACCAAUCUCUGUGAGACCCUAGUCUCUCCAGGAACUUCUGCUAGAUGCCAGUGUACAAAGAUGGCUACGUGAGACCCAGGAUCAACUGAGUGAUGGACAUUUAAAAUUGAGAGGAGGGAGGCAGCAUCCCACUCCCACGCAGUUAGCGUUAGAGCCAUUCGCUGACCACCCGACAAUAACACGGGAAACCUAUUUUAUUAGAACAUGUCCAAAUACUUCCCUCAAAGUGUCUUCAAGCUCUAAGUCACUGAAAUGUUCAGUUUCUGAAGCCGCACUGAAGCAGAGACGUCCAGUUCUUUGGAAAGUUAGUUGCAUCAAAUGAUGUUUUGCUGGGGCACACAGGUGAAAGGAUGUUUGGAUAUAGCAAACACGUGGAAAGACCGGUGAUGACAGAGUAUAAAUAUGACCCCGCAGACAGUGGGAGAUGAGCACUGAGCUUUGGUUUGCUCUGCCUCGCUAUUCUUUGAUCAAGACAUGCAUGUGUUGGUUCACCUUACAUAGCGUUGUUGAGCCCAGCUUGUGAUAACUCUGACACUGAGAGGAGCUCGCCCAAGAGCUGAUCUUGAGGUUCCUGCAGCAGCUCGCCACGUUUGCGGCCUCACCUCAGGCCGGUUGGAGAGCCUGGUGGCUGCUUUAGGAUUGAACUGCAGCUGCCUGGAGUCUGCUUGCCGAAAGGACUGGACUGUAGCUGCUGAGUCGUAUUUGGGGUUGGCUACAGGACCGAACCGCUGCCCCGGAAGAUCGAGCUCACCCCCAAAGAACUAUUGCUUAACAGAUCCACCUCCCCCAGAUCCUGAUAACUUUCCUCCUCCCUCUGCUGGGGGGCGGGCUAGAGGACAGGUUGAAUUAAAAGUAGGUUGCAAAAAAAUUAUGCCUACACCUUGCCUUGUAUUUUUAUUAUUCAUAGUCUCCCUGUGAUCUUAAUUGAAGUUUCUUCCGGGUGUGUGUGUGUGGGGGGGUAAGUAUAUA
rnacentral:lncRNA from 1 species